UACAGGGGGGCAAGCGUUGUUCGGAAUUACUGGGCGUAAAGGCCAGUAGGCGGCCGAUUAAGUCCGACGUGAAAUCCCCAGCUUAACCUGGGAACUGCGUCGGAUACUGAUGGGCUUGAAUUCGGGAGAGGGAUGCAGAAUUCCAGGUGUAGCGGUGAAAUGCGUAGAUAUCUGGAGGAAUACCGGUGGCGAAGGCGGCAUCCUGGACCGACAUUGACGCUGAACGGCGAAAGCUAGGGGAGCAAACGGGG
rnacentral:rRNA from 1 species